GCAACCUACCUAUCACUGGGGGAUAGCCCGGGGAAACCCGGAUUAAUACCGCAUAAUACAGGGGGCCCACAUGGGUCUAUUUGUUAAAGAUUUAUCGGUGGUAGAUGGGCAUGCGUUCGAUUAGCUAGUUGGCAGGGUAACGGCCUACCAAGGCGACGAUCGAUAGGGGAGCUGAGAGGUUGACCC
rnacentral:rRNA from 1 species